GCAGACGGGUGAGUAACGCGUGGGAAUGUACCCUUUUCUACGGAAUAACGCAUGGAAACGUGUGCUAAUACCGUAUACGCCCUAUGGGGGAAAGAUUUAUCGGAGAAGGAUCGGCCCGCGUUGGAUUAGCUAGUUGGUAGGGUAAAGGCCUACCAAGGCGACGAUCCAUAGCUGGUCUGAGAGGAUGACCAGCCACAUUGGGACUGAGACACGGCCCAAACUCCUACGGGAGGCAGCAGUGGGGAAUAUUGGACAAUGGGCGCAAGCCUGAUCCAGCCAUGCCGCGUGAGUGAUGAAGGCCUUAGGGUUGUAAAGCUCUUUCACCGGUGAAGAUAAUGACGGUAACCGGAGAAGAAGCCCCGGCUAACUUCGUGCCAGCAGC
rnacentral:rRNA from 1 species